rnacentral:misc_RNA from 1 species
UACGGAGGGGGCUAGCGUUGUUCGGAAUUACUGGGUGUAAAGCGCACGUAGGCGGACUGGCCAGUUGGGGGUGAAAUCCCGAGGCUUAACCUCGGAACUGCCCUCAAUACUGUCAGUCUUGAGUUCGAGAGAGGUGAGUGGAAUUCCUAGUGUAGAGGUGAAAUUCGUAGAUAUUGGGAAGAACACCAGUGGCGAAGGCGGCUCACUGGCUCGCAACUGACGCUGAGGCGCGAAAGCGUGGGGAGCAAACAGG